GACGUAGGAUGCGAGCGUUGUCCGGAUUCAUUGGGCGUAAAGGGUGCGUAGGUGGCGUGGUAAGUCGGGUGUGAAAUUUCGGAGCUUAACUCCGAAACUGCAUUCGAUACUGCCGUGCUUGAGGACUGGAGAGGAGACUGGAAUUUACGGUGUAGCAGUGAAAUGCGUAGAGAUCGUAAGGAAGACCAGUGGCGAAGGCGGGUCUCUGGACAGUUCCUGACACUGAGGCACGAAGGCCAGGGGAGCAAACGGG
rnacentral:rRNA from 1 species